rnacentral:rRNA from 1 species
UACGGAGGGUGCAAGCAUUGAUCGGAAUUACUGGGCGUAAAGGGCGCGUAGGCGGUUCAGAAAGUCAGAUGUGAAAUUCCGGGGCUCAACCCCGGAGCAGCAUUUGAAACUCCUGACCUAGAGUACAGUUAGGGAAAACGGAAUUCCACGUGUAGCGGUGAAAUGCGUAGAUAUGUGGAAGAACACCGGUGGUGAAGACGGUUUUCUGGGCUGAAACUGACGCUGAGGCGCGAAAGCUAGGGGAGCAAACAGG